GAUGAAGAACGUAGCGAAAUGCGAUACGUAAUGUGAAUUGCAAAUUCAGUGAAUCAUCGAGUCUUUGAACGCACAUUGCGCCCCCUGGUAUUCCGGGGGGCAUGCCUGUCCGAGCGUCAUUGCUGCCCUCAAGCACGGCUUGUGUGUUGGGCCCCGUCCUCCGAUCCCGGGGGACGGGCCCGAAAGGCAGCGGCGGCACCGCGUCCGGUCCUCGAGCGUAUGGGGCUUUGUCACCCGCUCUGUAGGCCCGGCCGGCGCUUGCCGAUCAACCCAAAUUUUUAUCCAGGUUGACCUCGGAUCAGGUAGGGAUACCCGCUAAACUUAAGCAUAUCAAUAAGCGGAGGA
rnacentral:misc_RNA from 1 species